rnacentral:rRNA from 1 species
UACAGAGGUGCCGAGCGUUAGGCGGAAUCACUGGGCUUAAAGCGUGUGUAGGCGGAUGCCUAAGUACCUUGUGAAAUCCCACAGCUCAACUGUGGAACUGCUGGGUAUACUGGGUGCCUUGGGUCAUCUAGGGGCUGCCGGAACAAAUGGUGGAGCGGUGAAAUGCGUAGAUAUCAUUUGGAACGCCAACGGCGAAAGCAGGCAGCUGGGGAUGCACCGACGCUGAGACACGAAAGCCAGGGGAGCGAACGGG